UACAGAGGGUGGAAACGUUGUUCGGAUUUACUGGGCGUAAAGCGCGUGUAGGCUGCUUCGCAAGUCGGAUGUGAAAGCCCUGGGCUCAACCCAGGAAGUGCAUUCGAAACUGCAGAGCUGGAGUCCUGGAGAGGAAGGCGGAAUUCUCGGUGUAGAGGUGAAAUUCGUAGAUAUCGAGAGGAACACCGGUGGCGAAGGCGGCCUUCUGGACAGUGACUGACGCUGAGACGCGAAAGCGUGGGGAGCAAACAGG
rnacentral:rRNA from 1 species